rnacentral:rRNA from 1 species
GUCGAGAAUCUUUCACAAUGGGGGCAACCCUGAUGGAGCGACGCCGCGUGGAGGAUAAGGUCUUCGGAUUGUAAACUCCUGUCAUGCGUGAACAAGGUUGCUUGGUUAAUACCUGGGCAAAUUGAUGGUAACGCAAGAGGAAGAGACGGCUAACUCUGUGCCAGCAGCCGCGGUAAUACAGAGGUCUCAAGCGUUGUUCGGAAUCACUGGGCGUAAAGGGUGCGUAGGUGGCGUGGUAAGUCAGAGUGGAAAGCCCGGGGCUCAACCUCGGAACUGCAUCCGAUACUGCCAUGCUAGAGUACUGGAGAGGUGACUAGAAUUCUCGGUGUAGCAGUGAAAUGCGUAGAUAUCGAGAGGAAUACCAAAGGCGUAGGCAGGUCACUGGACAGUUACUGACACUGAGGCACGAAGGCCAGGGGAGCGAACGGGAUUAGAUACCCGGGUAGUCC